AGAGUUUGAUCCUGGCUCAGGACGAACGCUGGCGGCGUGCUUAACACAUGCAAGUCGAACGAAGAGACUUGGAAGCUUGCUUCUAAGAAUCUUAGUGGCGAACGGGUGAGUAACGCGUAAUCAACCUGCCCUUCAGAGGGGGACAACAGUUGGAAACGACUGCUAAUACCGCAUACGAUCCAAUCUCGGCAUCGAGGAUGGAUGAAAGGUGGCCUCUAUUUAUAAGCUAUCACUGAAGGAGGGGAUUGCGUCUGAUUAGCUAGUUGGAGGGGUAACGGCCCACCAAGGCGAUGAUCAGUAGCCGGUCUGAGAGGGUGAACGGCCACAUUGGGACUGAGACACGGCCCAGACUCCUACGGGAGGCAGCAGUGGGGAAUCUUCCGCAAUGGACGAAAGUCUGACGGAGCAACGCCGCGUGAGUGAUGACGGCCUUCGGGUUGUAAAGCUCUGUUAAUCGGGACGAAAGGCCUUCUUGCGAAUAGUUAGAAGGAUUGACGGUACCGGAAUAGAAAGCCACGGCUAACUACGUGCCAGCAGCCGCGGU
rnacentral:rRNA from 1 species